rnacentral:rRNA from 1 species
AAUGCGAUAAGUAAUGUGAAUUGCAGAAUUCAGUGAAUCAUCGAAUCUUUGAACGCACCUUGCACCCUUUGGUAUUCCGAAGGGUACGCCCGUUUGAGUGUCAUUGUAAUCUCACUUCAACAACUUUUUUGUUGUUCGAAUGUGGACUUGGAUGUUGUCGUGUUCAACGACUCGUCUUAAAUGCCUGAGUGUACCCUGCUUUGCGGCGUAUCAGUGUGAUAAACAUCUUCACUGUUAAGUUCCUUGUGAACACGCUCGUGUCGUGGGCUCUAUGCUUCGAACCGUCUUUGGACAAUCUUUGACAAUUUGACCUCAAAUCGGGUGGGACUACCCGCUGAACUUAAGCAUAUCAAUAAGCGGAGGAAAAGAAACUAACAAGGAUUCCCCUAGUAACGGCGAGUGAAGAGGGAAAA